GCGGGGGUGCCGGAGCGGUCAAACGGAGUAGCCUCAAGAGCUUCUGGCUCAGUGCCUACGCAGGUUCGAAUCCUGUCCCCCGCA
rnacentral:tRNA from 1 species